rnacentral:piRNA from 1 species
UACCGAUGUGCCCAAGCCGUAACUGAGUGU